CCUACGGGUGACAGCAGUGGGGAAUAUUGCGCAAUGGGCGAAAGCCUGCCGCAGCGACGCCGCGUGAGGGAUGAAGGUCUUCGGAUCGUAAACCUCUGUCAGCAGGGAAGAACGGUCACUGUGCUAAUCAGCAGUGAAUUGACGGUACCUGCAAAGGAAGCACCGGCUAACUCCGUGCCAGCAGCCGCGGUAAUACGGAGGGUGCGAGCGUUAAUCGGAAUUACUGGGCGUAAGGCGCUCGUAGGCGGUAUGUCAAGUCAAGGGUGAAAUCCCCGCGCUCAACGUGGGAACUGCCUUUGAAACUGGCAAACUGGAGUGUGUGAGAGGAUAGUGGAAUUCCAGGUGUAGGAGUGAAAUGCGUAGAUAUCUGGAGGAACAUCAGUGGCGAAGGCGACUAUCUGGCACAUAACUGACGCUGAGGAGCGAAAGCGUGGGUAGCAAACAGGAUUAGAUACCCCAGUAGUC
rnacentral:rRNA from 1 species